rnacentral:lncRNA from 1 species
UUUUAUUAUAUGGUUAAAUAUACACUUAUCCCUAUGGUUAACUAAUUUAGAUCUUAUGAUUUAGAGUUAAGGGGUGGAGUUUAAAAUCUUUAAAAAAUAAAAAUAAAAAAUAAAAUUUUAAAAAUAUAAAUUUUAAAACAUAGUUUCAAAAAGCAUUUUCCAAUUUCAAAAAAAUAUUUGGAAUUUUUUUUUUGAAAUAGUCUGAAUUUUGAAAACAUAUAUGGUCAUACGGGUCUUUGGAUCUUUAAUGAAACCUAUUUUGGUGAUUUUUCUUUGAGAGCUCUUUUUGUGAGAAAAACUUAAAAAUAUCUAUUUGGGAGAAUCUCCCUUUAAUUAAACAAAAAAUUAAGAUUAAAAAUAU